GCCAGUGUGGCACAAUGGUUAGAGUAUCUGACCAGGAGACCAGGGUUCAAAUCCCUACUCAGGCA